UACAGAGACUGCAAGCGUUAUUCGGAUUUACUGGGCGUAAAGGGUGCGUAGGUGGCGAGGUAAGUUCGAUGUGAAAUCUCCGAGCUCAACUCGGAAAUGGCAUUGAAUACUAUCCCGCUUGAGGGUCGGAGGGGAGACUGGAAUUCUCGGUGUAGCAGUGAAAUGCGUAGAUAUUCGCAAGAACACCAGUGGCGAAGGCGGCUCACUGGCCCGGUACUGACGCUGAGGUGCGAAAGCGUGGGGAGCAAACAGG
rnacentral:rRNA from 1 species